rnacentral:rRNA from 1 species
UCUACGGGGGGCAGCAGUGGGGAAUAUUGCACAAUGGGCGCAAGCCUGAUGCAGCCAUGCCGCGUGUGUGAAGAAGGCCUUCGGGUUGUAAAGCACUUUCAGCGGGGAGGAAGGCGGUGAGGUUAAUAACCUCAUCGAUUGACGUUACCCGCAGAAGAAGCACCGGCUAACUCCGUGCCAGCAGCCGCGGUAAUACGGAGGGUGCAAGCGUUAAUCGGAAUUACUGGGCGUAAAGCGCACGCAGGCGGUCUGUCAAGUCGGAUGUGAAAUCCCCGGGCUCAACCUGGGAACUGCAUUCGAAACUGGCAGGCUAGAGUCUUGUAGAGGGGGGUAGAGUUCCAGGUGUAGCGGUGAAAUGCGUAGAGAUCUGGAGGAAUACCGGUGGCGAAGGCGGCCCCCUGGACAAAGACUGACGCUCAGGUGCGAAAGCGUGGGGAGCAAACAGGAUUAGAUACCCGGUAGUC